GCUAGACGAAGUAGUGGAAUGCUACACCAGAGAAGGUGAAAGUCCUGUAGUCAAAAGCCUAACAAUCCUAGCUGUAUCCCGAGUAGUCCGGAGCACGUGGAAUUCCGGAUGAAUCUGCGAGGACCACCUCGUAAGGCUAAAUACUACUGCGUGACCGAUAG
rnacentral:rRNA from 1 species